UACGGAGGGUGCGAGCGUUGUUCGGAAUUACUGGGCGUAAAGGGCGCGUAGGCGGCCUUCUAAGUCGAACGUGAAAUCCCUGGGCUCAACCCAGGAACUGCGUCCGAUACUGGAAGGCUUGAAUCCGGGAGAGGGAUGCGGAAUUCCAGGUGUAGCGGUGAAAUGCGUAGAUAUCUGGAGGAACACCGGUGGCGAAGGCGGCAUCCUGGACCGGUAUUGACGCUGAGGCGCGAAAGCCAGGGGAGCAAACGGG
rnacentral:rRNA from 1 species